rnacentral:lncRNA from 1 species
GUAUGCUUUACUGAAACGGUAUUUUUCCGAAAACAUGAAAACGUACACAAUAAUAUGUUUAGAGAGACAACAAAAUGCAUUGAAUUACAUGUCAGAAGUAAACGUACGCAGACAAAAUAUGCAGGAAAAAUUUGUGGAUAUAAUUAUGAAAACGCUUGCCUGUUAUAUGCUUUUUGUACAUACUCCCUCAUGUGCUGGUAAAAAUUCUCAAAAGUUAAGGUCGGAGUUCAUUGCUGCAAAAAUAGAAUCGACACAUGAAAUCAAUUGACUAGUUGUGGUCGGUUUCAGCGAAACUUUGUGCAGUCUACUUUUGAAUGCGGAGAAGCGUUCCUCGAUAGGGUUCAAUUGAGGAGAAUAGGGCGGUAAAAAUUUAUAUCUUAUUUCUUCUUCUUCCAUGAAUGCUGUAACAUUUUGG